CAGUCGAGGGGCAGCAUGGUCUUAGCUCGCUAAGACUGAUGGCGACCGGCGCACGGGUGAGUAACACGUAUCCAACCUGCCGUCUACUCUUGGACAGCCUUCUGAAAGGAAGAUUAAUACAAGAUGGCAUCAUGAGUCCGCAUGUUCACAUGAUUAAAGGUAUUCCGGUAGACGAUGGGGAUGCGUUCCAUUAGAUAGUAGGCGGGGUAACGGCCCACCUAGUCUUCGAUGGAUAGGGGUUCUGAGAGGAAGGUCCCCCACAUUGGAACUGAGACACGGUCCAAACUCCUACGGGAGGCAGCAGUGAGGAAUAUUGGUCAAUGGGCGAGAGCCUGAACCAGCCAAGUAGCGUGAAGGAUGACUGCCCUAUGGGUUGUAAACUUCUUUUAUAAAGGAAUAAAGUCGGGUAUGCAUACCCGUUUGCAUGUACUUUAUGAAUAAGGAUCGGCUAACUCCGUGCCAGCAGCCGCGGUAAUACGGAGGAUCCGAGCGUUAUCCGGAUUUAUUGGGUUUAAAGGGAGCGUAGAUGGAUGUUUAAGUCAGUUGUGAAAGUUUGCGGCUCAACCGUAAAAUUGCAGUUGAUACUGGAUAUCUUGAGUGCAGUUGAGGCAGGCGGAAUUCGUGGUGUAGCGGUGAAAUGCUUAGAUAUCACGAAGAACUC
rnacentral:rRNA from 1 species